rnacentral:rRNA from 1 species
AUGCCAACAACCACGCCGCCGCCAGCGGCACCAUCCCUGCCCGGCGAGCUUCUCGAGGAGAUCUUCCUCCGCUUCCCACCGGAUGAGCCCUCAUUCCUCAUGCGCGCCUCACUCGCAAGUAAGCUCUGGUUCGUCCUCCUCACUGGCCCUAACUUCCAGAGUCGCUACCGCGAGUUCCAUGGAUCUCCCCCCAUGUUGGGCUUCUUUUGCAAUCAGAUCGAUGGCUCCGACUUGGAGGAGGAGGAAAAACCAGUCUCACACUUCGUCCCCACCACAAAAUUCGGCUCUUGCAUAUCCAAGGAGGACUGGAUCGAGACAGACUAUGAUGUAUGGGAUUGCCGACAUGGUCAUGUUCUCUUUGGGCAAAAGGGACGGAGAUCCACGGAGUUCAUCGUUCGAAACCCGAUGACGGCCUGCUGGACGGAGGUGCACACACCUAAAAGAUACAUGGGGGGCGACAACCGUGGAGCCGCAGUGUUUUGUGCUAUGACCGGAUGUGACCACCGCCCGUGUCAUGAGGGCCCGUUCCGGAUGGCCUUUGUCUGCUUGUAUCUGGGAGUGGGCGAGGAGGAUGAUGAUUCUAUUGUAUACGCGGGUGUGUCCUUGCCACAGAUGUGCAAUUGGAGCAAUUCGUGCUCCAAAUUUCUGAGCAAGCCAUGCUCUGAACCAUGGAGCAAGCGGUGGAGCAAUUCCUCUGGUCUUCAUGUUCCAUCUGGGGCAUGGAUCGAUUCAGUCCCCCCAGUCCUCAUCGAAGACUCACUCUACUUCAUGAUUUCAUAUUAUGAUGGUGCUUGCAUAGAAGUUCUGAAGUAUGACUUGAGCUCUAAUUGCUUAUCACUGAUUGAUGGGCUGCCGGUGGAGGAUGUCUUUGCCGAUGCCACUAGACUCAUCGCCAUGGAGGACACCAAUUUGGGUCUUGCACAUGUGGAUAGGUUAACCCUCUACCUAUGGUCAAGACAAAUGGGUUACAAUGGAGUACCGUCAUGGACUCAACGAAUAGUCAUCGAUCUCAAUAACCUUCUUCCCGUUCGCAAUCCCAAUAGAAGGCUUAAACUAAUUGGAUCUGUGGAGGGCAGUGAUAUCAUUUUUGUGACCAUAGACUUUGGCAUCUAUGAGAUUAAUCUCAAGUCACUAAGGUGGAAGACAAUAACGAAGACUGAAAGUUUAUGUGCUUUGAUUCCAUACAUGAGUUUCUACAUUCCAAAAGAAAUGGAGGAAAGGCCAGCCACUCAGAUGCGUCUCACAGAUGAUGUAGGGUUGAAUAUGGGGCUGCCACUUGGGAGGUGGAGGUGA